CCGGCGAUGUCCGAAUGGGGAAACCCAGUGCAAUUCGUUGCACUAUCGUUAACUGAAUACAUAGGUUAACGAGGCGAACCGGGGGAACUGAAACAUCUAAGUACCCCGAGGAAAAGAAAUCAACCGAGAUUCCCCCAGUAGCGGCGAGCGAACGGGGAGCAGCCCAGAGUCUGAAUCAGCUUGUGUGUUAGUGGAACGGUCUGGAAAGUCCGACGGUACAGGGUGAUAGUCCCGUACACCAAAAUGCACAGGCUGUGAACUCGAAGAGUAGGGCGGGACACGUGGUAUCCUGUCUGAAUAUGGGGGGACCAUCCUCCAAGGCUAAAUACUCCUGACUGACCGAUAGUGAACCAGUACCGUGAGGGAAAGGCGAAAAGAACCCCGGCGAGGGGAGUGAAAAAGAACCUGAAACCGUGUACGUACAAGCAGUGGGAGCACCUUCGGGUGUGACUGCGUACCUUUUGUAUAAUGGGUCAGCGACUUAUAUUCUGUAGCAAGGUUAACCGUAUAGGGGAGCCGCAGGGAAACCGAGUCUUAACUGGGCGUUAAGUUGCAGGGUAUAGACCCGAAACCCGGUGAUCUAGCCAUGGGCAGGUUGAAGGUUGGGUAACACUAACUGGAGGACCGAACCGACUAAUGUUGAAAAAUUAGCGGAUGACUUGUGGCUGGGGGUGAAAGGCCAAUCAAACCGGGAGAUAGCUGGUUCUCCCCGAAAGCUAUUUAGGUAGCGCCUCGUGAAUUCAUCUUCGGGGGUAGAGCACUGUUUCGGCUAGGGGGUCAUCCCGACUUACCAACCCGAUGCAAACUACGAAUACCGAAGAAUGUUAUCACGGGAGACACACGGCGGGUGCUAACGUCCGUCGUGAAGAGGGAAACAACCCAGACCGCCAGCUAAGGUCCCAAAGUCAUGGUUAAGUGGGAAACGAUGUGGGAAGGCACAGACAGCCAGGAUGUUGGCUUAGAAGCAGCCAUCAUUUAAAGAAAGCGUAAUAGCUCACUGGUCGAGUCGGCCUGCGCGGAAGAUGUAACGGGGCUAAACCAUGCACCGAAGCUGCGGCAGCGACACUAUGUGUUGUUGGGUAGGGGAGCGUUCUGUAAGCCUGCGAAGGUGUGCUGUGAGGCAUGCUGGAGGUAUCAGAAGUGCGAAUGCUGACAUAAGUAACGAUAAAGCGGGUGAAAAGCCCGCUCGCCGGAAGACCAAGGGUUCCUGUCCAACGUUAAUCGGGGCAGGGUGAGUCGACCCCUAAGGCGAGGCCGAAAGGCGUAGUCGAUGGGAAACAGGUUAAUAUUCCUGUACUUGGUGUUACUGCGAAGGGGGGACGGAGAAGGCUAUGUUAGCCGGGCGACGGUUGUCCCGGUUUAAGCAUGUAGGCUGGUUGUCCAGGCAAAUCCGGAUAAUCAAGGCUGAGGUGUGAUGACGAGGCACUACGGUGCUGAAGUAACAAAUGCCCUGCUUCCAGGAAAAGCCUCUAAGCAUCAGGUAACAUCAAAUCGUACCCCAAACCGACACAGGUGGUCAGGUAGAGAAUACCAAGGCGCUUGAGAGAACUCGGGUGAAGGAACUAGGCAAAAUGGUGCCGUAACUUCGGGAGAAGGCACGCUGGUGUGUAGGUGAAGUCCCUGCGGAUGGAGCUGAGACCAGUCGAAGAUACCAGCUGGCUGCAACUGUUUAUUAAAAACACAGCACUGUGCAAACACGAAAGUGGACGUAUACGGUGUGACGCCUGCCCGGUGCCGGAAGGUUAAUUGAUGGGGUUAUCCGUAAGGAGAAGCUCUUGAUCGAAGCCCCGGUAAACGGCGGCCGUAACUAUAACGGUCCUAAGGUAGCGAAAUUCCUUGUCGGGUAAGUUCCGACCUGCACGAAUGGCGUAAUGAUGGCCAGGCUGUCUCCACCCGAGACUCAGUGAAAUUGAACUCGCUGUGAAGAUGCAGUGUACCCGCGGCAAGACGGAAAGACCCCGUGAACCUUUACUAUAGCUUGACACUGAACAUUGAGCCUUGAUGUGUAGGAUAGGUGGGAGGCUUUGAAGCGUGGACGCCAGUCUGCGUGGAGCCAACCUUGAAAUACCACCCUUUAAUGUUUGAUGUUCUAACGUUGGCCCCUUACCGGGGUUGCGGACAGUGUCUGGUGGGUAGUUUGACUGGGGCGGUCUCCUCCCAAAGCGUAACGGAGGAGCACGAAGGUUAGCUAAUCCUGGUCGGACAUCAGGAGGUUAGUGCAAUGGCAUAAGCUAGCUUGACUGCGAGCGUGACGGCGCGAGCAGGUGCGAAAGCAGGUCAUAGUGAUCCGGUGGUUCUGAAUGGAAGGGCCAUCGCUCAACGGAUAAAAGGUACUCCGGGGAUAACAGGCUGAUACCGCCCAAGAGUUCAUAUCGACGGCGGUGUUUGGCACCUCGAUGUCGGCUCAUCACAUCCUGGGGCUGAAGUAGGUCCCAAGGGUAUGGCUGUUCGCCAUUUAAAGUGGUACGCGAGCUGGGUUUAGAACGUCGUGAGACAGUUCGGUCCCUAUCUGCCGUGGGCGCUGGAGAAUUGAGGGGGGCUGCUCCUAGUACGAGAGGACCGGAGUGGACGCAUCACUGGUGUUCGGGUUGUCAUGCCAAUGGCACUGCCCGGUAGCUAAAUGCGGAAGAGAUAAGUGCUGAAAGCAUCUAAGCACGAAACUUGCCCCGAGAUGAGUUCUCCCUGAGACUUUAAGUCUCCUGAAGGAACGUU
rnacentral:rRNA from 1 species